rnacentral:rRNA from 1 species
AUUGAACGCUGGCGGCAGGCCUAACACAUGCAAGUCGAGCGGAUGAAGGGAGCUUGCUCCUGGAUUCAGCGGCGGACGGGUGAGUAAUGCCUAGGAAUCUGCCUGGUAGUGGGGGAUAACGUCCGGAAACGGGCGCUAAUACCGCAUACGUCCUGAGGGAGAAAGUGGGGGAUCUUCGGACCUCACGCUAUCAGAUGAGCCUAGGUCGGAUUAGCUAGUUGGUGGGGUAAAGGCCUACCAAGGCGACGAUCCGUAACUGGUCUGAGAGGAUGAUCAGUCACACUGGAACUGAGACACGGUCCAGACUCCGACGGGAGGCAGCAGUGGGGACUAUUGGACAAUGGGCGAAAGCCUGAUACAGCCAUGCCGGGUGUGUGAAGAAGGUCUUCGGAUUGUAAAGCACUUUAAGUUGGGAGGAAGGGCAGUAAGUUAAUACCUUGCUGUUUUGACGUUACCAACAGAAUAAGCACCGGCUAACUUCGUG